rfam:Myotis lucifugus cont2.52535, whole genome shotgun sequence.
CCAAAGGCUCUUUUCAGAGCCACCCACAUUUUCAGCAUAAGAGUUG